rnacentral:rRNA from 1 species
UACGUAGGGUGCGAGCGUUGUCCGGAAUUACUGGGCGUAAAGAGCUCGUAGGUGGUUUGUCGCGUUGUUCGUGAAAACUCACAACUCAAUUGUGGGCGUGCGGGCGAUACGGGCAGACUGGAGUACUGCAGGGGAGACUGGAAUUCCUGGUGUAGCGGUGGAAUGCGCAGAUAUCAGGAGGAACACCGGUUGCGAAGGCGGGUCUCUGGGCAGUAACUGACGCUGAGGAGCGAAAGCGUGGGGAGCAAACAGG